ensembl:lncRNA
ACUUUCAGCAUGCAGGAACAACUCUUUUGUAAGAGAUGAGAAGAACAGUACCUCAGAGCCCACCAGGAGCUCCUUUACUGUUAGGAUCCAUGCAUAUUCAUUGAUCAGCCAGUCAGUCACCUCUUUCUCUUUGGCACUGAUUGACAUUAUGACCUGAAGGGAAAAACAGAUUUGAUACCAACACAGAAACUUCUAUAGCAACCAGCCAACCUCUUGUGACAAUAAUAGGAGACUAAUCAGUUAUAGCUGAACGAAAUUAAGAGUACUGCUAUUUUACAGAGUUAUAAUGAUGUUCUCUGGCCUAAGGUGAACACAUUUCCCAAAUAUAAUCAUGACAUUACUAAUUAUUCCAAAUCUGCAGGUCUACCCUAUCCCAACUGCUCACAUUUCCUCUUUGUGCCAGAAUUUUCUUCAGGAACAGUUCAAACAACAUCCAAAGCUCCUCUGUGUGGCCCUUCAGCUCCUUGUCUUAUAGGAUAUGUCUUCUUUGUCCCUGCUGCUCGGAUCUCACCCAGUGGCCUGUGGCAGACUCCUCCUAAACCUGGAAAAUUCUCACAGGUUUCUUCAAACACAUUUAGGAAGAAAAUGCAACUGAAAAUGGCAAAUACAAAUCCAGGUACAGGAAUGAGAGGCGAAACUGAAAUUCAUGGAUUAUUAAGUCCUGAAGGAGAAAGAACAGGAAUGGCCUACUCAGCAAACUUUAUUUAACAAUAAGAACUUCAGAGUGGAGAGGACACUGAAUCCACCAUACUUAAGUUCCCAACAGAAAGAUUUAAAAAGACAUCCUUGGGAUUAAGCAGCUCUGUGUUCUCUUCAUAGAAAUUGUCACUCUGAGUCUUGUAAUAUUUCCAUGCAUUGACAAAAGCUGAACUGGGUUUGGAUUCUAUUCUGGAAACCAGCCAUCAAAAGCUGAGGAUCUAAAAGUCUUACACAGCAUUCUUGUUGAUCUCAAUAAGCUUCUAGAAUGAAAGCAUGGAUAUAUUAAAGGAUUUUCCAUCCAAAGUCAAAAGAUAACAAGGAAGAAUAAAAUAGAAAAUAACUAUUGGGAUGCUGGGUUUUGUUUUUUUUUAGAUGUGAGCAAUUCUGUUUGAUUUAAAAUAGUUACUAUAAAACUUUAAUACAUAUACUUCUUUAACCAUCAGCUAUUUCUGAAGAAGUGAACUACAAAUGAGACAGGAGUGUGUUCAGUGUUUGAACUGACUGUUAACCUUGGAACUGUGUAUUUGCAACUCCUUUCUAAGGAGGGUGGUCCUAGAACCAUCACCCAAAAUGUGCUUAAAAAUGAGAAUUAGAAUCUGCUGAGUCCUAAUUAACUUUAAAUCACAGACCUCCAAAUAAAUCAGAUGAAUGAUUACUAAGGAAAACUUAACCAGUACUCUGAGAAAAUCAUUGGACACCUGACGGUGUCUUUAUUCUUUACAUCUAUGC